UGGGGAAUAUUGGACAAUGGGCGAAAGCCUGAUCCAGCAAUGCCGCGUGUGUGACGAAGGCCUUAGGGUUGUAAAGCACUUUCACCCGCGAGGAUGAUGACGGUAGCGGGAGAAGAAGCCCCGGCUAACUCCGUGCCAGCAGCCGCGGUAAUACGGAGGGGGCGAGCGUUGUUCGGAAUUACUGGGCGUAAAGGGCGUGUAGGCGGCCUUGUCAGUCAGGCGUGAAAUCCCCGGGCUCAACCUGGGACGUGCGCUUGAUACUGCAGGGCUUGAGAGCGAGAGAGGUAAGCGGAAUUCCCAGUGUAGAGGUGAAAUUCGUAGAUAUUGGGAAGAACACCAGUGGCGAAGGCGGCUUACUGGCUCGUUUCUGACGCUGAGGCGCGAAAGCGUGGGGAGCGAACAGGAUUAGAUACCCCCGUAGUCC
rnacentral:rRNA from 1 species